rnacentral:rRNA from 1 species
GUCUACGGCCAUACCACCCUGAACGCUCCCGAUCUCAUCUGAUCUCGGAAGCUAAGCAGGGUCGGGCCUGGUUAGUACUUGGAUGGGAGACAAAAUAUCAACGUCCUCAACA